rnacentral:rRNA from 1 species
AUUGAACGCUGGCGGCAUGCCUUACACAUGCAAGUCGAACGGCAGCACGGGAGCAAUCCUGGUGGCGAGUGGCGAACGGGUGAGUAAUGUAUCGGAACGUGCCCAGUCGUGGGGGAUAACGCAGCGAAAGCUGUGCUAAUACCGCAUACGAUCUAUGGAUGAAAGCGGGGGAUCGCAAGACCUCGCGCGAUUGGAGUGGCCGAUAUCAGAUUAGCUAGUUGGUGGGGUAAAAGCUUACCAAGGCGACGAUCUGUAGCUGGUCUGAGAGGACGACCAGCCACACUGGAACUGAGACACGGUCCAGACUCCUACGGGAGGCAGCAGUGGGGAAUUUUGGACAAUGGGCGCAAGCCUGAUCCAGCAAUGCCGCGUGCAGGAUGAAGGCCUUCGGGUUGUAAACUGCUUUUGUACGGAGCGAAAAGGCUCUCUCUAAUACAGGGGGCUCAUGACGGUACCGUAAGAAUAAGCACCGGCUAACUACGUGCCAGCCGCCGCGGUAAAAC